GCUGAAAACCCACCUAUGGCUGUGGUUGGGAAAUUUGUUCACUUGCUCGAUCGGACCCAGAUUUUCAGGAGGAGCUGGAGCUAAUGAAACUGUGUGGGGAAGUUGUGAGCUUGAUCCGAUCUAAUCAACAGCUUGAAAAUGACCUCAAUCUCAUGGACAUCAAGAUUGGACUGCUAGUGAAGAACAGAAUGACACUGCAGAAAGAGAACUGCAGCAGAAACAUCAAGGCUUCAAGUGUUUUAAAAACAAAGCACCAGAAAAGAACCCACUCGGGACCAAGGGAAAGCAAUAGAUGGAUGUUGUUUCUCAUAGCAAAAAUCUUAGCAGGAAGAACAAGGAACAGCUCUGUGACGUGAUGACGCUGAACGAGCAAAAGGGGGGUUUGAAAGCUUGGAGCAAAGAGGAGAGGGAAAAGCUGGAAGCCUAUCAGCAUCUUUUCUACUUGAGUGUUGAGGCGCUGUCUGUCUUUGUGGUGUUGGCUUUUGUGGACACGUGCUGUAUGGGAACUGCGGAGUCGUGGCCUGAACCUCUGAUUGAUCAUCUGAGGUGAGCAGUGAGUCAGGCAGAGGAGCACAGGUGAAGGCAAUGCAGCUGUGCUGCUGGAAGGGGUGCAGCCAGGCUACAGCCCUCCUAGACCUGUUUAAGAGCUGGCUACCAGUGGGGAAGGAUCUUGUCUGGAGAUCUGCUCUGCUGGAGUUUUGUAAGUGAGCCCAGGAUAGGGGUAAGCCUUCUAUUUAUUCUCCUUUUGUUAGCUUAGUCUGCUUUGUCCAACUCUCUUGUUUAUUCCAUAAUGACAACAUCUUAAUAGUCAUUGAUUAUACACGUGCACUAAGUACUUUUUCUUCUUGUUUUAGACUGCUCCAACAUACUUGGCCAAGCUGCUUUUGCAGAUGCCUCAAAACAAACCCACAAAGUUCAUGGAUUCAGCCAUCUUCAUGCUGCAUAACUACGCAUCCAGUCAGAGAGAGGAAUCUCUGCUGUUGCGGCUGUUGCAAACAGCAUUGCAGGAAGAGAUCAAGUACGUUGUAGCGUAGGACACAGCCUUGCUGUUGCCUCAGUUUGGGCCGCUGCUAAAAUUGAAGCUGUUCUUGUGUGAUGUCCUGUGCUCAUUUGCUGAUAAUGCUGAACUGUCCCUGCCUUCUGCUCAUGCUGUUUCACGUCAGUCCUUUCUGUAACCUGGAAGGAGGAGGAAUUACCUUUGUUCUUUAGGAUUAAAGCCAUUUUUCUUUAGCCAAUGCUUUGUUGCUCAGGGAGGCACUAUUUUUGAUCUGCAGUGCUUUCCUAAGAUUCAGUCCAGUCUAAGUUCUCUGCUGUCUAGUAAGAAGGACUUGGCACAGACUGCGAGCUUGGGCUUUACAGGCCAGAGUGAAGCUGACGCGAAGGUCACUGUUUUCCAGAACUGAUGAGGAGGCUGAAAAUCAGAUGCUGUCUGGUUUGGGUUUUUUACUGGCUGUCAGGCUUAAGGAUUCUGGCUGUCUGUCGGCAUAAUGGAGUUGAUUGUCACUUAGGAGUUUGGUGUUUAUGACUUGUGGCUGAUACGGAGCUUGACAACUUGCUAGGAAGACCAAAUACAUACAGUGUUGGAGGCAGUCAUGCCUUUUUUGAUGCUUUUAAGUAUGAGGAUGGUAUGUGCCCUCAAACAGGUAACGUCUAAAAGGUUUGUUUAAUUGUUAUUAUCUUUUCUUGGAGUAGUAGUUCAGGAAAGUGCAUGUAUGUGCUUUAUUCUCUGCUGCUGGAUUUCCCAUAGCGGCAUGCUGUGAAUGGCUUUUGUUGCUGAUUGCUUACUUGUUGAAAUAGUGAAAGAAAAUAGUUGUGCCUGUGUAGAACUCCUUUUGUUUCCUCUGUAUUUUUGAGAUGCGCUCUUUCAACCGUGGUGCCCGUGGUCAGAACGCACUGAGGCAGAUCUUGGCCCCCGUUGUGAAGGAAAUAAUUGAGGACGAAUCGCUCAACGUCAGAACGGAUCCGGUGGAUAUUUACAAGUCCUGGGUUAACCAGAUGGGAUGUCAGAAUGGUGAGGCCGGGAAGAAAAGCUUGAUGUCUGUGCCAAGGGAGACGUACACCGCACUUGCGCUGCCUGGACGAUGUGGAAACUGGAAAUUCUGGGGUGUGCUGAAGCGUGCCCUCUCAGGUCAGUCUAAGCAUACAUAGAGUAGACCUGUCGAACAAAACAGGGAAUAGACAGUUAAACCCAUUCUGUUGGGAAAUACUCUCUCCUUCUAAGUACCUUUAGAACGUGAGUUUCUUCAAUUAAUUACUCAACUCAUUUCCUUUUCCUGAAUGAUCCCAAGUUCUUUUCUCAGGCUACAUCUGCACUCUGCUCAGUCCAAGGAGAAAUCCCUGCCCGCAGAUGCAAUGACACAGCAUGGCUCACAACCUCAUUUUUCAUUGCUUACUCUUAUGGUAACUGCCAUCCGUGUCCACCCUGCGUAUUCUUAGAGCUCUUCUGGAGUCCAUGGGGCAGACUUAUGGUUGAACUGAAGGGAAUUUUUUCAUAUUGCUCUAGCUCCAGAUGAUUAUCCCUAGUAUCAUUAUAUUAAAAAAAAAAAA